CCCUGCUGCUGGAGGCCUCCCGCGCCCCCCGACCCCCGGCCCGGCUCCUGGCUGCCCUCCGUGUGCCCCCCCCCGGGCCCCGUGUGCUGCCCGUCCUGCGCCGUUACUUCCCGGCUGAGUGCCGUCUGAGACCCCUCCCCGGGGUCCCACUGCGGGUGAACGUCCGCCUCGUCCUGCCCGGAUCGGUGCCGCGGGGAUGGAGGCUGCGCUUCGAGCCCCACGGGGGGCUGAACGUCACCCCCGGGCCUGGGGACGGCGAUGGGGACGAGGAUGAGGACGGAGAUGGCAGUGGGGAUGAAGGCUGAGGGUGAGUCGGGUGGUGAUGUGCAGCCCUCGGGUGUUGUGGUGUCACUGAGCCUGGCUGGUGUGGAGCCCAGGUGAUGUGGAGCCCAGGUGACACGGGGACGUGGAGCUGCCCGGUGACACGGUGACAUGGAGCACAGGUGACGUGGAGCCCAGGUGACAUGGUGACAUGAAGCCCAGGUGACACGGUGACAUGGAGCCCCAGUGACGUGGAGCUCACAUGACACAGUGCCAUGGAGCCCAGGUGAUGUGGAGCCCAGGUGACACGGUGACAUGGAGCUGCCCGGUGACAUGGAGCCCACAUGAGACAGUGACACGGAGCCCAUGUGACACAGUGACACGGAGCCCAGGUGAUGUGGAGCCCAUGUGACAUGGUGACAUGGAACUGCCCGGUGACACGGUGACAUGGAGCCCAGGUGACAGGGAGCCCACAUGACUCAGUGACAUGGAACCCAGGUGACACAGUGUCAUGGAGCCCAGGUGACAUGGAGCCCAGGUGACACGGUGACAUGGAGCUGCCCGGUGACAUGGAGCCCACAUGAGACAGUGACACGGAGCCCAGGUGAUGUGGAGCCCAGGUGACACAGUGACAUGGAGCCCAGGUGAUGUGGGGCCUGGGUGACACGGUGACGUAGAGCUGCCCAUGUGACAUGAAGCCCAGGUGAUGUGGAGCCCACAUGACACAAUGACAUGGAGCCCAGGUGAUGUGGAGCCCAGGUGACACGGUGACAUGGAGCUGCCAGGUGACAUGGAGCCCAGGUGACACGGUGACAUGGAGCCCAGGUGAUGUGGAGCCCAGGUGACACGGUGACAUGGAACUGCCCGGUGACACGGUGACAUGGAGCCCAGGUGACAUGGAGCCCACAUGACUCAGUGACACGGAACCCAGGUGACACAGUGACAUGGAGCCCAGGUGAUGUGGAGCCCAGGUGACACGGUGACAUGGUGACACAGUGUCAUAGAGCCCAGGUGACGUGGAGCCCAGGUGACACGGUGACAUGGAGCUGCCAGGUGACAUGGAGCCCAGGUGAUGUGGAGCCCAGGUGACACGGUGAUAUGGAGCUGCCCGGUGACAUGGAGCCCACAUGAGACAGUGACACGGAGCCCAGGUGAUGUGGAGCCCAGGUGACACAGUGACAUGGAGCCCAGGUGAUGUGGGGCCUGGGUGACACGGUGACAUAGAGCUGCCCAUGUGACAUGAAGCCCAGGUGAUGUGGAGCCCAUGUGACACAGUGACAUGGAGCUGCCAGGUGACAUGGAGCCCAGGUGACACGGUGACAUGGAGCCCAGGUGAUGUGGAGCCCAGGUGACACGGUGACAUGGAACUGCCCGGUGACACGGUGACAUGGAGCCCAGGUGACGUGGAGCCCAGGUGACAUGGUGACAUGAAGCCCAGGUGACACGGUGACAUGGAGCCCCAGUGAUGUGGAGCCCAGGUGACACGGUGACAUGGAGCAGAGGUGAUGUGGAGCCCAGGUGACACAGUGACAUGGAGCCCGGGUGAUGUGGAGUCCAGGUGACACGGAACCGAGGUGACAUGGGGUCUGCAUGGCACAGUGACACGGAGCCUGGGUGACACUGUGGCGUGGGACCCAGGUGACAGGGAACCAAGGUGACACAGAACCUGAGUGACACAGACCCAAAUGGCACGGAACCCAGGUGACACAGAACCCAGGUGACAUGGAGCCCUGGUGACAUGGGACCGGGUGACACAAUGCCUAUGUGUCAUGGAACCCACGCGACAUGGAACCCAGGUGACACGGAACCCGAGUGCUAUGGAACCCAGGGGACGCAAUGCCUGUGUGACACAGAACCCGGGUGACAUGGAAUGCAGGUGACAGAGUCUGUGCGGCACGACACGGAGCCUGGGUGACACUGUGACACGGAACACAGGUGACACGGAACACAGGUGACAUGGAACCCAGAUGGCACAGUGCCUAUAUGACAUGGAACCCAGGUGACACGGAACCCAGAUGUCACAGAACCCAGGUGACACAGUGCCUAUAUGACACAGAACCCAGGUGACACAGAACCCAGGUGACAUGGAACCCAGGUGACACAGAACCCCGGUGACAUGGAACCCAGGUGACACGGAACCCACGUCACAGUGCCUAUACGACACGGAACCCCGGUGACACAGAACCCAGGUGACACGGAACCCAGGUGACACAGUGCCUAUAUGACACAGAACCCAGGUGACACAGAACCCAGGUGACACAGUGCCCAGGUGACACAGUGCCUAUAUGACAUGGAACCCAGGUGGCACAAUGACACGGAACCCAGGUGACACAGUGCCUAUACGACACGGAACCCAGGUGACACGGAACCCAGGUGACACGGAACCCACGUCACAGUGCCUAUACGACACGGAACCAAGGUGACACGGAACCCAGGUGACACGGAACCCAGGUGACACAGUGCCUAUACGACACGGAACCCAGGUGACACAGAACCCAGGUGACACGGGACCCACGUCACAGUGCCUAUACGACACGGAACCGAGGUGACACAGAACCCAGGUGACACAGAACCCCGGUGACAUGGAACCCAGGUGACACGGAACCCACGUCACAGUGCCUAUACGACACGGAACCAAGGUGACAUGGGACCCAGAUGUCACAGUGCCUAUACGACACGGAACCGAGGUGCCACGAGCCCCCGUGCCGCACUGCUGGUGUCCGGAGGUGUCCGGAGGUGUCCGGAGGUGCCAGGAGGCGACACGAGCGGACAGCCCACGUUAUCAGUGCCCUCACAGCCACCCCCCUCCCCCCCCCCGACACCCACAGCGUGGGGCUGAGCGCGUGCUGUGCCCCCCCCCGGCCCUGGGGGCUCUGAUAAGGCCUUAUCACCGCCCCCACCCCACCCCACCCCCCCCCGAGGCGCUGCGUGCGCUCACGAGUGCUUUAUUGUAUAAAACAGUGGCAAACCAACACGAGUGGCCCCAAUUCGGCGUAUGGACAUUGGGGGGGGGGGGGGGGGUGGGACGGGACCACCCCCACAACCCCGCUGUGUCCCCACGUGACGUCACUGCGACGUGUCCCCUCCGUCCCCGUGUCGUGGUGAGUCCACGUGACGUCACUAUGACGCGUCACCUCCAUCCUCGUGUCGUGGUGAGUCCACGUGACGUCACUAUGACGCGUUACCUCCAUACUCGUGUCGUGGUGAGUCCAUGUGAUGUCACUAUGAGUCCAUGUGACAUCACUACAGUGUGUCAUCUCCAUCCUCGUGUCAUGGUGAGUCCAUGUGACGUCACUACGACGUGUCCCCUCCAUCAAUGUGUCACAGUGUGACAUACCCUCGUGUCGUGGUGAGUCCACGUGACAUCACUAUGACGCGUCACCUCCAUCCUCGUGUCGUGGUGAGUCUCCUCCAUCCAUGUGUCCACAGUGUGACACGUCCUCGUGUCAUGGUGAGUCCACGUGAUGUCACUGUGUGUCCAUGUGACAUCACUGUGACUUCUCCCCUCCAUCCUUGUGUCGUGGUGAGUCCAUGUGACAUCACUAUGACGUGUCGCCUCCAUCCAUGUGUCACGGUGUGACACAUCCUCGUGUCAUUGUGAGUCCACGUGACAUCACUGUGACGUGUCCCCUCCGUCCCCGUGUCGUGGUGAGUCCACGUGACGUCACUAUGACGCGUCACCUCCAUCCUCGUGUCGUGGUGAGUCCCCUCCGUCCAUGUGUCACAGUGUGACACGUCCUCGAGUGUUGUGAUGAGUCCACGUGACAUCACUAUGACACGUCACCUCCAUCCAUGUGUCACAGUGUGACACGUCCUCGUGUCAUGGUGAGUCCACGUGAUGUCACUAUGAGUCCACGUGACAUCACUACAGUGUGUCACCUUCAUCCUCGUGUCGUGGUGUGACACGUCCUCGUGUCAUGGUGAGUCCACGUGACAUCACUACGAUGUGUCCCCCUCAUCCUCGUGUCAUGGUGAGUCCACGUGAUGUCACUGUGAGUCCAUGUGACAUCACUACAGUGUGUCCCCUCCAUCCUUGUGUCGUGGUGAGUCCACGUGACGUCACUAUGACGCGUCACCUCCAUCCUCGUGUCGUGGUGAGUCCCCUCCGUCCAUGUGUCACAGUGUGACAUGUCCUCGUGUCAUGGUGAGUCCACGUGACAUCACUACGAUGUGUCCCCAUCAUCCUCGUGUCAUGGUGAGUCCACGUGAUGUCACUGUGAGUCCAUGUGACAUCACUAUAGUGUGUCACCUCCAUCCUCGUGUCAUGGUGAGUCCACGUGACGUCACUA
ensembl:lncRNA